rnacentral:rRNA from 1 species
UGGGGAAUAUUGCACAAUGGGCGCAAGCCUGAUGCAGCCAUGCCGCGUGUAUGAAGAAGGCCUUCGGGUUGUAAAGUACUUUCAGUCGGGAGGAAGGUGUCAAGGUUAAUAACCUUGUCGAUUGACGUUACCCGCAGAAGAAGCACCGGCUAACUCCGUGCCAGCAGCCGCGGUAAUACGGAGGGUGCAAGCGUUAAUCGGAAUUACUGGGCGUAAAGCGCACGCAGGCGGUCUGUCAAGUCGGAUGUGAAAUCCCCGGGGUCAACCUGGGAACUGCAUUCGAAACUGGCAGGCUAGAGUCUUGUAGAGGGGGGUAGGAUUCCAGGUGUAGCGGUGAAAUGCGUAGAGAUCUGGAGGAAUACCGGUGGCGAAGGCGGCCCCCUGGACAAAGACUGACGCUCAGGUGCGAAAGCGUGGGGAGCAAACAGG